rnacentral:lncRNA from 1 species
GUGUGUUCUGGAACGAUCAGAAGGGGCUCCAUAGGAGCCAAGCCCUAAUUCUUCAAAAGCUUCAAAUCAAGGGAUGAUUCAAGGCUCAAAUUCGCAAAUAAACAUGGAAUAAUGAUCACCGUCACAAGGGGAUCGUAAGGUAUGUCUUAGAUGUUAGAUUGGUGAUCUUUCACGAAGUGGGUUUUGAUGUAAAUCGCGAAUUUGUAUGAAAUUGAGAAUGGGUGUGUGUUAGAAUCAUCAUAUUGGACAUGGGUUAUGCAUGAUUUAGGUUAAUUCGAUGUUUUUGGAUGAAACCCAUUUAUUAUGAUGAAGAUGAUGACAUGGGUGAAUUAUCCAUGUCUAAUUUUGCUUAAUAUUGAUGUAUUUUGAUUUUCAUGAUGGGCUCUUGUUAGAGGAAUUAAAAGAAAUGAAGUGGAAUUUGAUGAAUUGUGUAUGAGAUUAGGAGAUUGUGCAUGAACUAGUUGUACUUUAUGUUUAGAAGGUAGUACAUACACCAAAGGCAUGAUGAUAUUAUGAAGAACUUAAGUUUAGAUCACUAGUAAGUGAUUAAUAAUGUAGUAGUAAAGUGGGUUUUAGAUAAUGUGAUGUAAAUUGAUGAUUUACUUAUGUUAAUGAUGUUUAGAAUCAAACAUAUGUUUAGUGAUGAUUUUGAUUAUGUUGAUGCAUGUGUUAUGUAUUAGGUUUUGAUAGUAAUAUGAUGUAGGUGAUAAUGUAAUCUUGUUUGAAUGAAAGGAUUCAUGAGAUGAAUAUGGGGAGAAUAUGCUUAAAUUGCUUGUACAAUGUGCUUAAAUGUUAGUACGCACGCCAAGUGUUUGACAAAAUGACUAGGUAAAGUAGAAAGUGAAAUUGUAUGCAAGUUGUAAGUUUACAUGUAUAGAAAGCGAUUGUGGUAAAAGUAGUAGUUACUAACUUGAAAAAUGUGCUUUAGAUGGAACUUGUAUAUGAAUUCGGGUUGAAGGUAUAUGUUGGUCAAACUUAUGCAUUAGGAGCUUGUACAUUGUGUUCGAACGGGUAAGGUUUGCUAUGUGGUCUACUAAUCCCUUAAUUACGGUCAAAAGUGAACAUGUACUAAAUAUAUAUAUAGCAUAUGACCUCACUAGCAAAGGAUGAUGUUACGAUUAUGUUAAGUUGAUUCUUAUAGGAAGUGGUUGUCAAAUGUAGAAUUAUGAAAGUAUAAGUAUGUGAGAAUUGAUUAUGUGUUAUGUGUGGUAAUGAAUUUGGAACUCGGAGAUAUUGAACAAUGUGGUUGACAAAUCAUGUCGUAUGCGUGUUAGUGAAAGUCAAUAUAGAUAAAAGUUGGAAAAUGUGUGUUAAUAUGAAUGAGCAUGAAUACUAACAUUGUCAUGCAUGACGACAUGAAAGAAUAGGAAACACACAAGCGUGGACUAAGCAUGGAAGGCUAACGGGUCAAGAUGAGGCAGGGAAGCGGUCACGAACACGGAUGCACAAGGUAAGUGACUUCCGACUCACUUCUUAGUAUGCAUGUAGAAUUUUCAUGUUCAUGAUUGUGGGGAUAUUAUGUAAGGUUAUGUAAUGAUGAAAGUAUUAAGGUAAAUUGAUGAGAUGGGUAUAAAGUAACUGGACUAAUAAGUCUAGUCAGUGAGGCCGGUUAAGGUCAAUAUUUAAAUUAAGAAAGUGUUCAACACGCUAUCUAUAUUAAGAUUAGCGUGAAAUAAUCAUAGUUUAUAAGCGUGUAUGACCAAGUGGCCAAAUAGCUACUCAGUUAAGCCAAACAAUAAAGGUAAGUGAGUAGAAGACGGCAGUUAUGGUCCAUGAGGUCAUAAUAACGAAAAGUAUUGAUCGCCUAUACUGAGCGAUCACAAGACAACACAAGCAAAGUGUUGGGAAGUCAGUUCGAGUAAAGGCACGAUAAAAAGGAUAAAGCCGAAAGGUAUGUGGUAAUAUGCCUUGUAGAAUUCCGUUAAUAGCACACCUAGAUAGUGCUAAAUAAAUAAGAUAAAAUCAGGAAAUUCAUUUUAGCGGCGAAUUCAGUAUGAAUGAACCAAAUGAAUAAGUUCGUAAAGGAAAGGGUCUGU